AAUGUCUAGAAGGAAAGUUCACAAAUGUAUAAAAAAAGAAACACACACACGUCCACACAGCCUGUAUUGUGUCGGCGUCAAGCUGAUCAGCUGCUAUAAAUAACUUGGCUCAGGAGGUUGUCGUGGCAACCAACAAACCAGGGUGGGAGCGCUCAUCUCCUUGAAGAGAAAAGCACAUUGAAUGGAGGGACAAGCGGCGACAAAGGAAAGAUGUAAAGGAGAAGAGGAAGGACAGGGCAGCAGAGGGAGGUCGGAAAGGAUGAAUCGGUCCCUGGAGAUGGAAAAGAGUCAAUGUUCAAGAGAGAUAGUGGAGAGAUGAUGAAGAAGACGGUGACGGAUGAGAGGAGAAAGGAAGAUAGAUAGGUAGAGAGUGGUGAUGAAAUGCAAGUACACUUCAAGGAAUAAAAAGAGGAGUCUGGAGAAGAGAAAGGAGUGGAGUAAGAAAGAGGAUUGGAAGAAGAUCAAGGACGAAUGAGAACUAGAAGAUGAGAUGAGAGGACGCAAGAGGAGAAGAUAGGAAAUAAGAAGAGUGUUAUAGGAUGAGAAGAAAAUAUGGAGGGGAGUUGAGACUCCUGCGACUACUCGCCAUCCCUCAGCUUCUCUCCUGUAUCUCUCCGCUUCUCCGUCUCAAUACUCGUCGGCGUAUGUGUAGACCGUGGAAGGGGGAUUUCCCCAGAGAAAUCCAACAAGAGUGAAGCCGUCCAGAGUGUUGUCCUAAAGAAGAUAUCUUCUUUUCUUACAACACAAGACACAAAAUCACAUUGAAAGUUUUUGCUUCAGAUCCGUGUUAGUGCACAGUAUAUUUAACUUUUCAAACAGUUCCUACAGAAUUGGAGUAUGGGGGCAGAAUGCUAUUAAAUCUGACAUUUCAAAAGUCUGGUUGUUACACUUGAACUACAUCCCAAACUAUGGGAUGGAUUUCAUCAAAGCGGCAACAUCUGAAAAGUUCCUUAAACUUGCAUUCUUUCCAACGGCCAGCAGACGGCCACUCCAGUGUUUGCAAAAAGAAGUCUGAUUGUAUAGGAGUCUAUGAGAAAAUUAUCCUACUUCCUACUUGAUUCAUUACUUCAAUAAAACAUGUUCUCAAUUG
rnacentral:lncRNA from 1 species